rnacentral:tRNA from 1 species
CAAAUUGGAGCUUGAAAAUAAAGUAUUUCAUUUACAUUGAAAAGAUAUUAUAUAUUAAUAAUUAAUUUGA